CGAGCACGCCGGAGGCCUGGCCUGUGGAUGAGAUUGUUCCUUAUUUCCCCAGCUUCAGCACCACAGAAGAGACCAGAGUCUACCUUGCCAGCUCCUCUAGCACCGACCACGUGCCAAUUCAUGUCCUGAAUGCUCACUUCACUUCUUCACCUUGCUUCACUUCACUUACUGCACGGGAACAGAAAAGCCUAGAGAGGAUGGAUUACCUGUGCGGUUGCCUCCCUCUGCAGAGUGGGCGUGUCUCAGGAGCUUCUCUUCUUCUCCAGCCCAGUGCGGCCUCGUGUCAUCCAUAGGACCCACCGGCAGAGGGCAGGGCCUGCGAGUGGGGCCAGCCUCCUGGUGACUCUCGCCUCCUCUUUUCCAGCGGACGCUACCAGAGGACGAAGGUCUGACUCUGGCCAACGGCCCAGAAUUUCUGGCCCAGUUUUGCCUGAGGAAGCCAACUGUGCAGGAGGUCAGGAUCCCGGUAGGGUGAGAGUGGGAAAGUUAACAUUCCCAAGAGACUCCAAGCAACAGGAUUUCCUGACCUGGGACUAUUACCUUUCUCACAUUACAUGGCCAGAUUUACUUCCUGCUAUUAUUAAAAGUACGAAAAAGAUGAAGAUAUGUGUUUAAUGGAAACAAGGGCAAGAGUUUGCCUGACUGGACUUUGAGGAGGCUGUAGGAUCAUGGCGCUAACGGCAUUUGGAGGGCUGGGAAGGGACUCUAGCCCUGGCUUUACCUGCCUUUGUCAUCAGCUGGAGCAAGCAACUCCGCAACCUCGGAGCCUCAGUUUCCUUUUCUGUAAAAGGCGGGGAGGGUGGGUGGUAAGUGCAAUGCUGAAUCAGAACUCAUAGAGCUGCUGGGUGGACAUGUGAAGUAAAAGAGGAGACAGCUUUUGCUCCUGAAGGAUGCCAUUUGCGUUUUCCUCAUCAGUUUGAUCUCCUCCAAUCAUCCAGCACCUCCAUCUGACCUUCUCAGCUGAGAGGUCCUCAGUGUUUCUGUGGCCUCCAGGAGAAAGGUCCCCCUCCCCGGCUGAGGCCAGGCUGAUGGCAGGCUGCACGGCCAGCCUUCCACAGUCACCUGAAGGAUACAGAAAAGGAAGAGCUGGAGGCUUCUAGCAAGCUGCCGAACUGUGUCCUCCAGCUGCGCCCAGCCCCCUGGAGGUAGCGCCGGAGCACGUGGUGGUGGCUAUGUAGGAAGGCCCCUUUCGAGCCGCCCUAUACUGUCUUUGGGAUCUGCUUUUUACUGCCACAGCCUAUGUGCUCCUGAUUCUUCUCUCAAUCCCUGGAUGGAAACCGGCCUCUGAUACUUGGCUCUGCUUCCUUGGAGGAGCUACUUAACCAUUCAGUCCUCUCUGCAGUUAGCUAUUAAGGUUGUCCUGCGAACUGAAGCAGAGAGUCCCCGCAAAGGGUGCAGAGUAGGGCACCCACAGAGGAGCCUCUAAAGCACUUUCCAUGAGGUGGAUGGCUUCUCCUCCCCAAGGGACCCAGGAAGGAAAGGAGAGCUGCUUCUGCCUCCCCAGCAGAGAGGGACCUUCCCAGAGAAGAUGUCUUGCGCCUCACCUGAUCUUGUUCUGAGAGUAGGAGACUGGAAGAGAAGCGUUCAACUCCCCAAACACAGCUGGGUUUGUUUCGUUUAAUCUCCCAGCCUGUUUUUCUGCUGUCCUCCUGAAGAAUGUUUAAUCUCACAGUUAAAACCACCAAAAGCGACUUUUUUCCCCCUCAACUGCUCAGUAACACAUGACCGUGCAAAUUCGUUUGGCCCCAGCGCCACAAGUCAUAAAAGGCAUCUAGUGGGCGGCAUGAGUCAAUCAGGCCUUUGGACGGUGACGUAACCACAGCUUGUCAGUUUCCCCAUCCAGGCAGCCCCAAUCCCCCAGUGCAGACAUCUGGAGCCAGGGAUUGACAAGUGGAUUCCAGGAUUGGGCCCUGCCUCCCGCCCUGUUCAGUUCCAGCCCAGCCACGGCCGCCGCCAACGAGGACACGCACUGUCUUUCUGCACAUUCCCACGUACACACACCCCCGCAGCCCCCUCUCCACUCAUUCCUGCAUUUCCGGCAAUGUGAAUUCUGACAGCUCGGGCAGUGUCAGCCUCUCCGGUGCAUUCCUCACCACACCACCUCACUGCUCCCGAGCCUGCUGACAGCACUCCCCGCCAUACCUACCAAGCCGAAGGUGCAAGGAACCUCUUGAUCCCCACUGUGUCUUUGUCCCAGGGCCACAGCAAAAUAGCACCCCCCUCCCCCACACACCCUCUAGCCUAAUUUAUUAGACUUUUAAACACAUUUAUUUACUGUGAUAUCUACACCACACCAAACAUCUGGAGGGAAACCGGGAGACAAUCCACCAGGAAUUUAAAUGUUUGUUCUGCAAUGUAACUUUGAAAACCGAACCAGGAAAACUUGACAUCUUUAGCCAAUUGCUUGGUGGCUUUAAGAUGAUGUCACCCAUAGGCAGAAAGGCCCACUCAUUUCGUGCAUCUGCAGUCACUCUUCUGACGAGGUGCGGCUCUCUUUUGUUCUAUCAAAGAGAAAGCCAGUCUAAAUUAAUGGGAAACUAGAGAAUUAGGUCAUUUUUCAAGAUGAAAUUGCUGGUAGCUUAAGGAAUCAGCUACUUGAAUCCCAUGCUAAAAAAGUGUAACUCCUGAGGAGUGAGCUCUUCUUUCUUCCUUCCAUAAUGUCAGGCACUAAGGGAGGUUCAGAAACACAGAGCAGCAUCUACUCCUUUCUCAACGAGCGUGGGGUCCAGUGCAGUUGGCCCUCAUUUAACAAAUAAUUACACCCAUGCGUGAAAGGUCCAGUGGGGAAACAGUGCGGGGAGCCUCAGGCAGAGCUGAUUCAGGCCUGGGGAGGCACGGGAGCCACAUGUUCAGGGUCCACAGGCCCAGCGGAGUGAUACGGAAGUUUCCAAGAUGGUAAGCCUCUCUCCUGGCCCAUGCUCACCAACGGGACCCCAUUCCUAACCAGGCUUUCCCUCUCUCUCUUUUAAGUGUUCCAGGAAUGUUCCUACCCCUGCGUCUUUGCUGAAGCCCCUCUUGCCUGGGAUGCCCUCUGUCCUCUCUUUCUGCCCACACACAUCCUGCCAGUCCUUCAGACAGGGCCAGCCUCACGGGCAUAGGACCUGAGCAGUUUCACAGGGCCCUAUGCACAGAAGGAUCCCAAGCUCGGUUGAUUGCUCCGAUCUUGCCAUCUUGAAACUCUUUGAUAAUUUUAUCUUUUAUCUUGUGUUUUGGGAGUGAAAUCCAAUGGGAUAUUGGGGCCUGCAAAGGAGAAGAGGAGAUCCGCACAAACCCGUUCCUGGCUGCUGCAUUCACCUCCAGCGUUUGUGAUGCCCCAGAGCACAGAACUCCAGGGAGCCCACGAUGCAGGAGAGUUCAGCGACAUUCACUGAGUACAAGAGAAGACUGUUGGGAGGCACCAAUGGACUUUGCAACUGGAGAUCUCCCAACUGGACCAUGUCACUGUUAUGUUUAAUUUGCACUGUGCACAGUAGGUACCCAGUCAACGUUUGUCGAAUUCCAUGGACUGGGCCUUAUACCUCCGAGGAUUUUUCACAGCAGUAGCAUGUGCACAUGCACAGAACGAGAACACAACCAAUGCUUGUUUGCUGGUGAAGACCUGGUCUCAGUAUUUUGCCCAGGAAACCCUUUCUUCAUGGACAGCAUGAGGCAAGCUAUGGCCCUUGCUGUGGUCUCAGUGGUUCAGCACGGAAGAUGAAGAUGACGGGCAGUCUCAGAAUAUUAGCUUUAGAAGGGACUUUGGAUCCUUUUGAUUUUGGUAGGUGAAAUACUUUUUAAAAAUAAAGAAAACGGACUUUGGACAAAUGCUCUCAUUUUGUAAAUGAAAAAGUAGAGACAGGAAGAGUAACUGAUUUGUCCAAAAUCAAACAAAGUAAAUUGUGUUGCAUCCUCUCCAUCCGUAACCACCUUCGCCUUCCCUAACUGCUCCAUGUGGCCUGGGAAAGUCCACUUCACCUCGUCUUAGAGGUGGGCUUCUGAUUCUAGCUAAGCCAACCCCCA
rnacentral:lncRNA from 10 species